rnacentral:rRNA from 1 species
GAUGAACGCUGGCGGCGUGCCUAAUACAUGCAAGUCGAGCGAACAGAUGAGGAGCUUGCUCCUCUGACGUUAGCGGCGGACGGGUGAGUAACACGUGGAUAACCUACCUAUAAGACUGGGAUAACUUCGGGAAACCGGAGCUAAUACCGUAUAAUAUAUUGAACCGCAUGGUUCAAUAGUGAAAGACGGUUUUGCUGUCACUUAUAGAUGGAUCCGCGCCGCAUUAGCUAGUUGGUAAGGUAACGGGUUACCAAGGCAACGAUGCGUAGCCGACCUGAGAGGGUGAUCGGCCACACGGGAACUGAGACACGGUCCAGACUACUACGGGAGGCAGCAGUAGGGAAUCUUCCGCAAUGGGCGAAAGCCUGACGGAGCAACGCCGAGUGAGUGAUGAAGGUCUUCGGAUCGUAAAACUCUGUUAUGAGGGAAGAACAAAUGUGUAAGUAACUAUGCACGUAUUGACGGUACCUAAUAAGAAAGCCACGGCUAACUACGUG